rnacentral:rRNA from 1 species
GACGAACGCUGGCGGCGUGCUUAACACAUGCAAGUCGAACGAAGAGCGACGGAAGCUUGCUUCUAUCAAUCUUAGUGGCGAACGGGUGAGUAACGCGUAAUCAACCUGCCCUUCAGAGGGGGACAACAGUUGGAAACGACUGCUAAUACCGCAUACGAUCUAACCUCGGCAUCGAGGAUAGAUGAAAGGUGGCCUCUACAUGUAAGCUAUCACUGAAGGAGGGGAUUGCGUCUGAUUAGCUAGUUGGAGGGGUAACGGCCCACCAAGGCGAUGAUCAGUAGCCGGUCUGAGAGGAUGAACGGCCACAUUGGGACUGAGACACGGCCCAGACUCCUACGGGAGGCAGCAGUGGGGAAUCUUCCGCAAUGGACGAAAGCCUGACGGAGCAACGCCGCGUGAGUGAUGACGGCCUUCGGGUUGUAAAGCUCUGUUAAUCGGGACGAAAGGCCUUCUUGCGAAUAGUGAGAAGGAUUGACGGUACCGGAAUAGAAAGCCACGGCUAACUACGUG